rnacentral:rRNA from 1 species
AGAUUGAACGCUGGCGGCAUGCCUUACACAUGCAAGUCGAACGGCAGCACGGGAGCAAUCCUGGUGGCGAGUGGCGAACGGGUGAGUAAUACAUCGGAACGUGCCCAGUUGUGGGGGAUAGCCCGGCGAAAGCCGGAUUAAUACCGCAUACGACCUACGGGUGAAAGCGGGGGCUCGCAAGACCUCGCGCUAUUGGAGCGGCCGAUGUCGGAUUAGCUUGUUGGUGGGGUAAAAGCCUACCAAGGCUACGAUCCGUAGCUGGUCUGAGAGGACGACCAGCCACACUGGGACUGAGACACGGCCCAGACUCCUACGGGAGGCAGCAGUGGGGAAUUUGGACAAGUGGGCGCAAGCCUGAUCCAGCCAUGCCGCGUGCGGGGAAGAAGGGCCCUUACGGGGUUCGUAAA